AGCGAACGCUGGCGGCAGGCUUAACACAUGCAAGUCGAACGCAUCCUUCGGGGUGAGUGGCAGACGGGUGAGUAACGCGUGGGAACAUGCCCUUUGGUUCGGAAUAACUCAGGGGAACUUGAGCUAAUACCGGAUAAGCCCUUUUGGAGAAAGAUUUAUCGCUGAAAGAUUGGCCCGCGUCUGAUUAGCUAGUUGGUGAGGUAAUGGCUCACCAAGGCUACGAUCAGUAGCUGAUCUGAGAGGAUGAUCAGCCACAUUGGGAAUGAGACACGGCCCAAACUCCUACGGGAGGCAGCAGUGGGGAAUAUUGGACAAUGGGCGCAAGCCUGAUCCAGCCAUGCCGCGUGAGUGAUGACGGCCUUCGGGUUGUAAAGCUCUUUUGUCCGGGAAGAUAAUGACUGUACCGGAAGAAUAAGCCCCGGCAAACUUCGUGCCAGCCGCCGCAGUAA
rnacentral:rRNA from 1 species